rfam:Triticum aestivum genome assembly, contig: Triticum_aestivum_CS42_TGACv1_scaffold_020576_1AS
GAGAUACUCCCUCCGUUCCGAAUUACUUGUCGCGGGUAUGGAUGUAUCUAGAUGUAUUUUAGUUCUAGAUACAUCCAUUUCUGCGACGAGUAAUUUGGAACAGAGGGAGUACAAU